rnacentral:rRNA from 1 species
CCUACGGGCGGCAGCAGUGGGGAAUAUUGCACAAUGGGGGAAACCCUGAUGCAGCGACGCCGCGUGAGUGAAGAAGUAUUUCGGUACGUAAAGCUCUAUCAGCAGGGAAGAAAAUGACGGUACCUGACUAAGAAGCCCCGGCUAACUACGUGCCAGCAGCCGCGGUAAUACGUAGGGGGCAAGCGUUAUCCGGAUUUACUGGGUGUAAAGGGAGCGUAGACGGCAGCGCAAGUCUGGAGUGAAAUCCCAUGGCUUAACCAUGGAACUGCUUUGGAAACUGUGCAGCUAGAGUGCAGGAGAGGUAAGCGGAAUUCAUAGUGUAGCGGUGAAAUGCGUAGAUAUUAGGAGGAACACCAGUGGCGAAGGCGGCUUACUGGACUGUAACUGACGUUGAGGCUCGAAAGCGUGGGGAGCAAACAGGAUUAGAUACCCCUGUAGUC